rnacentral:tRNA from 1 species
CUCGGGCCGGGCCGACGGCUGGGCCACGGUGUCCGCACCCUCGCACGGGCUGUCGCGUCCGGCGGCGGCCAGUACGAACCCGGCGCCCGGCAC